rnacentral:rRNA from 1 species
AGUGAACGCUGGCGGUAGGCCAAACACAUGCAAGUCGAACGGCAGCACAGAGGAGCUUGCUCCUUGGGUGGCGAGUGGCGGACGGGUGAGGAAUACAUCGGAAUCUACUCUGUCGUGGGGGAUAACGUAGGGAAACUUACGCUAAUACCGCAUACGACCUACGGGUGAAAGCAGGGGACCUUCGGGCCUUGCGCGAUUGAAUGAGCCGAUGUCGGAUUAGCUAGUUGGCGGGGUAAAGGCCCACCAAGGCGACGAUCCGUAGCUGGUCUGAGAGGAUGAUCAGCCACACUGGAACUGAGACACGGUCCAGACUCCUACGGGAGGCAGCAGUGGGGAAUAUUGGACAAUGGGCGCAAGCCUGAUCCAGCCAUACCGCGUGGGUGAAGAAGGCCUUCGGGUUGUAAAGCCCUUUUGUUGGGAAAGAAAUCCAGCUGGCUAAUACCCGGUUGGGAUGACGGUACCCAAAGAAUAAGCACCGGCUAACUUCGCGCCAGCCGCCGCGGUAA